AUUGAACGCUGGCGGCAGGCCUAACACAUGCAAGUCGAGCGGAUGAAGGGAGCUUGCUCCUGGAUUCAGCGGCGGACGGGUGAGUAAUGCCUAGGAAUCUGCCUGGUAGUGGGGGAUAACGUCCGGAAACGGGCGCUAAUACCGCAUACGUCCUGAGGGAGAAAGUGGGGGAUCUUCGGACCUCACGCUAUCAGAUGAGCCUAGGUCGGAUUAGCUAGUUGGUGGGGUAAAGGCCUACCAAGGCGACGAUCCGUAACUGGUCUGAGAGGAUGAUCAGUCACACUGGAACUGAGACACGGUCCAGACUCCUACGGGAGGCAACAGUGGGGAAUAUUGGACAAUGGGCGAAAGCCUGAUCCAGCUAUGCCGCGUGUGUGAAGAAGGUCUUCGGAUUGUAAAGCACUUUAAGUUGGGAGGAAGGGCAGUAAGUUAAUACCUUGCUGUUUUGACGUCACCAACAGAAUAAGCACCGGCUAACUUCGUG
rnacentral:rRNA from 1 species